GUCGGCGAGAGAGACCAACAUGGUGAUCAUCAAUGUCAAGCUUCUCUCCGGCUUCGUCCUGGACAAUCCUCCCUCAGGCCUUUGAAAAAUGACCCCACUGUCAAACGUGUUGACCUGGAGGAAGGACAUGUCAUCAUCUACCUAGAUGGGCUCAAGCAGAAGGAAACGAAGAYGUACAGCCUGGCCAUAGAGGAGGAUGUGCCUGUGAGGAAUCUGAAACCAGCUGUGGUGAAAGUGUAUGACUACUACCAGACAAGUGAUGAAGCUGUGAGUGAAUACAGCUCCCCRUGUGCAGAGAGUGACGAAGUCAAUGAAGUGUGACAGACACUGGACCUGGACCCGACCAAGUGCUUUCAUGUGUAGGAAGUCAUGUGUUUUUUUUAGGCAGAGCUCAUAGACCCUCUCCAUUUAUUUGGUUUGAUGCUUGUAGUUCCUGGUAACACAUUGACCAACUCGUGAUCUGUUUUUAAUAUUGUAAGUGAACAAAAACAUUUUAAUACAUGGUCAUAGAUGGGCCGUAGGAUUUUACCUUUUUAACUCCUUUUUUUAUUUUGUUAAUUUGAUUUGUGCUAACACAUGUCACAACCUGCUGUUGUAACUCUAAACCUGCUAUUAAAGUUAUGUGAGAUCGUUAUUUCAAAAGCUACAUUUCAGUGUUUCUACUGCGAUGAUGAAAAUGCAUACGACUGCAUCUACUGAAAAUGAAAUGUUUUAAUGAAACUAUGGCCAUGUUGCUAUGGAUUCAAACCACAGAAGACUCAACAUCUAUUAAAAAAAUGUAUCUGACAAAAUCGAUAUAAUCCAUACAUUAAACACUGAGGUUUACAUGUUCAAAAUCACAGCAUAGUCUUCUCUAAAAAGAUAUUCAGAUGGUCAUUAUAAAUGUUGUUGUGAUCGUGUAGCCUAUCUGAAUCCUUUACAAUGAUGAUGUCAAGCUACCAGAUCAUUUGAUAUUCUAUUAAAGCUGAAAUAUACCCUGAA